rnacentral:rRNA from 1 species
UACGUAGGGUGCAAGCGUUGUCCGGAAUUAUUGGGCGUAAAGAGCUCGUAGGCGGCUCGUCACGUCGGCUGUGAAAACCCGGGGCUCAACCCCGGGCCUGCAGUCGAUACGGGCGAGCUAGAGUUCGGCAGGGGAGACUGGAAUUCCUGGUGUAGCGGUGAAAUGCGCAGAUAUCAGGAGGAACACCAGUGGCGAAGGCGACUUCCUGGCCUGUUCUUGACGCUGAGGCGCGAAAGCUAGGGGAGCAAACGGG